rnacentral:rRNA from 2 species
GCAGUCGAGCGAAGAGAUGGGAGCUUGCUCCCUGAUCUUAGCGGCGGACGGGUGAGUAACACGUGGGCAACCUGCCCUGCAGACUGGGAUAACUCCGGGAAACCGGAGCUAAUACCGGGUAAUACAUCGCACCGCAUGGUGCAAUGUUGAAAGUUGGCUUUCUGAGCUAACACUGCAGGAUGGGCCCGCGGCGCAUUAGCUAGUUGGUAAGGUAAUGGCUUACCAAGGCGACGAUGCGUAGCCGACCUGAGAGGGUGAUCGGCCACACUGGGACUGAGACACGGCCCAGACUCCUACGGGAGGCAGCAGUAGGGAAUCUUCCGCAAUGGACGAAAGUCUGACGGAGCAACGCCGCGUGAGUGACGAAGGCCUUCGGGUCGUAAAGCUCUGUUGUUAGGGAAGAACAAGUACCGUUCGAAUAGGGCGGUACCUUGACGGUACCUAACCAGAAAGCCACGGCUAACUACGUGCCAGCAGCCGCGGUAAUACGUAGGUGGCAAGCGUUGUCCGGAAUUAUUGGGCGUAAAGCGCGCGCAGGCGGUCUUUUAAGUCUGAUGUGAAAGCCCACGGCUCAACCGUGGAGGGUCAUUGGAAACUGGAGGACUUGAGUGCAGAAGAGGAGAGUGGAAUUCCACGUGUAGCGGUGAAAUGCGUAGAUA